rnacentral:rRNA from 1 species
CCUUAGAGUUUGAUCCUGGCUCAGGACGAACGCUGGCGGCGUGCCUAACACAUGCAAGUCGAACGAAGCUUGACGAAUGAUUUCUUCGGAAUGAAAUCUGAUAUGACUGAGUGGCGGACGGGUGAGUAACGCGUGAGCAACCUGCCCUUCGGAACGGGAUAGUGUCUGGAAACGGACAGUAAUACCGUAUAACGUAUUUUUACCGCAUGAUAGAAAUACCAAAACUGAGGUGCCGAAGGAUGGGCUCGCGUCUGAUUAGAUAGUUGGUGGGGUAACGGCCUACCAAGUCGACGAUCAGUAGCCGGACUGAGAGGUUGAACGGCCACAUUGGGACUGAGACACGGCCCAGACUCCUACGGGAGGCAGCAGUGGGGAAUAUUGCACAAUGGGGGAAACCCUGAUGCAGCAACGCCGCGUGAAGGAAGACGGUUUUCGGAUUGUAAACUUCUGUUCUUAGUGAAGAAUAAUGACGGUAGCUAAGGAGCAAGCCACGGCUAACUACGUGCCAGCAGCCGCGGUAAUACGUAGGUGGCAAGCGUUGUCCGGAAUUACUGGGUGUAAAGGGAGCGUAGGCGGGAUGCCAAGUCAGCUGUGAAAACUAUGGGCUUAACCCGUAGACUGCAGUUGAAACUGGUAUUCUUGAGUGAAGUAGAGGUUGGCGGAAUUCCGAGUGUAGCGGUGAAAUGCGUAGAUAUUCGGAGGAACACCGGUGGCGAAGGCGGCCUGCUGGGCUUUUACUGACGCUGAGGCUCGAAAGCAUGGGGAGCAAACAGGAUUAGAUACCCUGGUAGUCCAUGCCGUAAACGAUGAUUACUAGGUGUGGGGGGAUAACCCCCUCCGUGCCGGAGUUAACACAAUAAGUAAUCCACCUGGGGAGUACGACCGCAAGGUUGAAACUCAAAGGAAUUGACGGGGGCCCGCACAAGCAGUGGAGUAUGUGGUUUAAUUCGAAGCAACGCGAAAAACCUUACCAGGUCUUGACAUCUAUCGCUAUCCCAAGAGAUUGGGAGUUCCCUUCGGGGACGGUAAGACAGGUGGUGCAUGGUUGUCGUCAGCUCGUGUCGUGAGAUGUUGGGUUAAGUCCCGCAACGAGCGCAACCCUUACUGUUAGUUGCUACGCAAGAGCACUCUAACGGGACUGCCGUUGACAAAACGGAGGAAGGUGGGGAUGACGUCAAAUCAUCAUGCCCUUUAUGACCUGGGCUACACACGUACUACAAUGGCCGCUAACAAUGAGCAGCAAAACCGCGAGGUGGAGCGAAUCUAUAAAAGCGGUCUCAGUUCGGAUUGCAGGCUGCAACUCGCCUGCAUGAAGUCGGAAUUGCUAGUAAUCGCGGAUCAGCAUGCCGCGGUGAAUACGUUCCCGGGCCUUGCACUCACCGCCCGUCA